GGGGGCAUAGCUCAGUUUUGGUAGAGCGCAUCCAUGGCAUGGAUGAGGUCAGGGGUUCGAGUCCCCUUGCCUCCAC
rnacentral:tRNA from 2 species